rnacentral:rRNA from 1 species
UACGUAGGGGGCAAGCGUUGUCCGGAUUUAUUGGGCGUAAAGGGUGUGUAGGCGGUUGUUUAAGUUUGGGGUGAAAUCUCCCGGCUCAACUGGGAGGGUGCGCCGAAUACUGAAUGACUAGAGUGCGGGAGAGGAAAGUGGAAUUCCUGGUGUAGCGGUGAAAUGCGUAGAUAUCAGGAGGAACACCGGUGGUGUAGACGGCUUUCUGGACCGUAACUGACGCUGAGACACGAAAGCGUGGGUAGCAAACAGG